UUAAUUAAAACUUGUAUGGAAUUGAAACGUUUGCCUACGUUUGCCGCUAGGGGCGCUGUUCCAAACUGCAUACAUAUUUGAGUUA
rnacentral:pre_miRNA from 1 species